rnacentral:rRNA from 1 species
GUCCCAGUUCGGAUUGUAGUCUGCAACCCGACUACAUGAAGCUGGAAUCGCUAGUAAUCGCGGAUCAGAAUGCCGCGGUGAAUACGUUCCCGGGUCUUGUACACACCGCCCGUCACACCAUGGGAGUCGGAAAUGCCCGAAGUCUGUGACCCAACCAUUAAGGAGGGAGCAGCCGAAGGCAGGUCGGAUGACUGGGGUGAAGUCGUAACAAGGUACC